CGGGACGUGGCGCAGUUUGGUAGCGCGCCUGCUUUGGGAGCAGGAUGUCGCAGGUUCGAAUCCUGUCGUCCCGACCA
rnacentral:tRNA from 21 species